AAAACUGUCAUGGUGGAUUUGUGCCAAUUUUGAAAAAAAAACGAAAAGGACUUGCAAAAUUUUGUCAAGAAUCUCACUUGUUAUCAUUUACCUGAAAGUUUUUGAAGAAAGGGAAAGUACUAAAUCUGUCGAAAAUGCCUAAAAAUAUUCAAUACAAUGUUGGCGAUUUAAUUUGGGCGAAAAUGAAAGGCUACCCGCAUUGGCCUGCUAGAGUAAGCGAAUAAUUUAUAUGUUGACAUGGAUUUGUAGUAUUUAUAAAUAUUGGUUGAAGAAUAUAUUUAAAAUGAAUUAAGAGUUAUCUGGGGAGGAGAAUGUUCAAUAGUGGUUUAGGAUUUUAGGUCAUUUAAGCAGUGAAAAUUGUAUACUAAAAUUUUCUACUAUCAACAAAAGUUGCUAAAUUCCACGUAUAUUUACAAUUUAUCGUACUAGGGGAGUUACUAUAAAGUACAUAUACAAUAAAUCCCCUAUCAAAUAGCAAAUACACAGCAUCAAAAUCACACUAUUCAAUACUGGGUUAUUCCACAAAACAUCUACAUUUGCCCAACAGAGGAAAUUGCAAGUUUACCCCCCACAGCACCACAUGGUGCAUUUUGUGUACAACCGUUUGAGGGUUACAUUACAGUUUACUGUACCUGAGUGAUAGAAGUAUUCAAUGACAUAUAUCUGAUGAAGUUACAUUUUUUAAGCCCUGGGCAAACUAAGAAACAUUGUUGCCGAAACAUUGUUUCAGGCUACCAAUGUUUCGCCAUGUUUCCAAGAGUGGGCAAACACUAGGAAACAUUAGUGAGAAACAUAGGGAAACAUCAAAUGUUUCUGAAUUCGCUAGGAAAAUUUUUGCUUCUCAGGAAGCAAAUUUUGUUUCCGCAACAAUGUUUCCAUGAGUGGGCAAACAGGGAAACAUUUGCGGAAACAUUGUGAAUCACAAAUGUUUCCACAACAAUGUUUCCUAGUUUGCCCAGGGCUUUAGUGAUUACUAGGGUAUGGUCAACAGAAAUGGAUUGCUGUACAAUAUUCUGUGUUUUGCAGAAACAAUAUGGCCAUACAUAACAACAUAACAAAACUGUUUGGUUUUAGAUUGAUAUGGUUGAACCAGGAACAAAGAUUCCAAACAAUAAAUUACCAAUAUUCUUCUAUGGUACACAUGAAACGUAUGUACAACUCUAAUGCAAUCUGUAGCUAUUUGGAUAAGGGGUAGACCAUUAGAAAAAUUCUGUCCUGGUAAUAAAUUCACAGGGAAAAAAUUGAAUUUCCAUUCAUGGAAUUUGAUAAAAAUUGAAUUUCCAUUAUUUAAAGCAUGCAUAGGAGUGUUUUAUCACAUAUAAAACACGGCGCAUAGCAGAGUGUUUUAUAUGUGAUUAAACAUGACUACAAGUGCUUUAAAUGUCUUAAAAAAUUACUCAUCUUAUACGAGUUCAUUGGCGAAGUAAUUUUUAAAAUAAACUUUGUCUAAACUGAGAAAAUCAAAGCUAAAGACCUAAAGUUUAUGUAAAUUAAUUAACAUGAUUUUUUAUCACAUAUAAAACCAC